UAUAAUUCACCAGUGUAUAUAUGCAUCAUAUCCUACGAGAUGAAGGAGAAGCGGUGUGUGCUCGGUUAUCUACCUGCGGCAGAAGCACAAGUGCCAAUUAGCUUAGCUUAUAGCCUUAGUGUGUUUAAAGCAAAAUAAUAAUAAUGAAACACACUCAUUGUUUGCUGCAAUUGAGUAAAAUCCCGGUGUAGCUCCUAUCUCAGUAAGUGAGCAUCACCUUCAGGGUGUCAUUCACUAUAUGUUGGUGACUGGGAGCCGGACCGGGAGCCGGACCGCAGCUCUUCGAGGCAUGGCCUCCGUGCUUUCUGGGUGAAGUGUCCGGCUUGGUGCUGCUUGUUCCCGGGUGCAACAAAAAGGGAAUGUUUAAUUAUUAUUUAUUUAUUUUUUGCUUUAAACCCACUAAGAUCCUAAGCUAAACUAAUUGGCUACUGCCACAAUGGCGCUGCUUCUGCUAGUGAGCACCGGUGGCCAUGGAUGAUGUGCUCACUCUUCUUCACCCCCAUUGGUAGUCGCUGCACCAAGUUGCUCCAAAUUUGCAUAAAGUUAAACUUUUCUCAACUUUGACGCGUCGCUGGACAUGCCCACAUCCGGUCACCAAUAGUCGCCGUAGCGCAUGUUGCAGGAAGUCGCUAGCUCUCAUUGAAAAUGAAUGGUCUCGGGUCGCAUUAUCUCUGCUAGUUGCUCUGUGUGAACGUACCUUCAGGAUUUUAGCGGUGCAGAGCAGCAGCUUGGAUGUGACUGCUGGUUAACAUGAGUUCUGAAGUCAAAUGCCAACCAUACCAGAUAAACAGAGGGUGAUCCAUACAGGACUCCAACACAGCCAAAGACAGACUACAAAAAUCACAUAUAGGAGCUCAAGGAGACAUUAAAGACAGGGAAAAGGAGGUUGUGAAAGUUGAAUUUUCAACUCCAAGAGGGUAAGUAUGGAGUAGCUCUUAGAGUAGCUCUUAACUAUAUGUCACAACUAGGGCUGCAACUAAUGAUUGUUUUGAUAAUUGAUUAAUCUGCCAAUUAUUUAUUUGAUUAAUAGAUUAGUUGAAUUAAAAGGCCAAUUUUUAUUUUCUGUAUUUAAAAUAAAAAAAGUUAUUUCACAUUCUGCCCAAUGUUGUCCUUCAAAAAUUGUGCAAAUUGAAGGCUAUGAAAAAAGGUAUUAAAUGUAUCUACGGGGGUUUUUCUAUACAUUGUGCAAAGGAUAAAAAAAAAAAUUAAGUAGGGAUGUGACGUUGAGAAUUUUUAAUCGACGUCUGACAACACCGGUAAUACCGGCU